AUGGCGGAGGCUGUUGUCGGGCAGCUAGUGGUCACGCUGGGGGGUGCACUGGCAAAAGAGGCGGCGAUCUUUGGCGGGGCCCUGCUCGGCAAGGAAGCCGCCGCCCUCAGGGGCCUCUUCGGCAAGAUCUGUGACUCCAAGGUGGAGCUGGAGAGCAUGCAGGCCUACCUGCAGGAGGCAGAGCGAUUUAAGGACACAGACAAGACCACCGCCAUCUUUGUCGGCCAGGUCAGGGGCCUAGCUUUCCAGAUCGAGGAUGUCGUUGACGAGUUCACCUACAAGCUGGAGGACUGCAGGCAUGGAGGGUUUGCAGGCAAGAUGAAGAAGAGGCUCAAGCAUAUCAAGACCUGGCGCCGCCUAGCGGCCAAGCUCCAAGAAAUCAAAGCCCAGCUACAGGAUGCCAACCGGAGAAAGAAGGAUUACGCCGUCACUGGCAGAUUUGCUUCUUCUGCUAGAUCGACGAAUCAAGGUCAAGCUCUUCACUUCACCAGGGAUGAGGACCUUGUGGGGAUAGAGGAGAACAGGGACAGGUUGAUACGGUGGCUGACCGUCAGCGGUGGUAGUGGUCAUGGUCUAGAGCAGAGCAGCAGCAAGGUUACCUCGGUAUGGGGGAUGCCUGGUGUUGGUAAAACCACUCUGGUUGCUCAUGUGUACAACACCGUGAAAGUGAAUUUCGACGCGGCAGCGUGGGUAACUGUGUCGGAGAGUUACCGUAUUGAGGAUCUGCUGAAGAAGAUUGCCGCCCAGUUCGGCAUCACAGUCGACGUCGCCGACAUUGAGAUGAGAGACAUAGCAGAGUCCAUCCACAACUACCUUCAAGGUAAAAAGUUCAUCAUGGUCCUGGAUGAUGUAUGGGCUGCGCGCGUGUGGUCCGAGAUAAGGAAUGUCUUCCCAACGUCUAACUGUACCGGCCGAUAUGUUAUCAUAUCAAGAAAGCAUGAAGUGUCACUGUUGGCAACUAGGGAGUCUGCAAUUCACUUGGAACCGCUACACGCUCAUCAUUCCUGGGAGUUAUUCUGCAAAGGAGCAUUUUGGAAUGAUGAUGGUAAAGAGUGCCCAUUGGAGUUGCAGGAACUGACUUGGAAGUUCAUAGCAAAGUGUCAAGGCUUGCCUAUUGCUAUUGCAUGCAUUGGCCGCCUACUAUCCUGCAAACCCCCAACUUCUGCUGAGUGGGAGAAUGUGUACAGGGGUUUGGAUUCGCAGUUGACGAAAGAUGCGAUCCCUGAUGCUCAUAUGAUCCUAAAGGUCAGUUUGGAGGACCUUCCGUAUGAUUUGAAAAAUUGUUUCUUACACUGUGCACUAUUUCAACAAGAUUAUGUAUUAAAGAGGAGAAGGAUAACGAGGCAGUGGAUUGCGGCUGGGUUUAUUAGGGAAAAGGAGAACAAAACGUUGGAGGAAAUGGCAGAGGGAUACUUGGCUGAGCUUGUGAACCGAAGCCUAUUACAGGUUGUGAAGAGGAAUCAUGCCGGGCGACUGAAACACUGCCAGAUGCAUGAUGUCAUAGGACUUCUUGCCCUGAAUAAAGCCAAGGAGGAGUGCUUUGGUAAAUUUUAUGAUGGCUAUGGUAGUGGGGCAUUCUCUGUAGAGGGUGCACGUCGCAUAUCAGUCCAGGGGGAAAACCUUGAACAACUGAGCCGAUCUGGUGCAAAACAACUCCGUGCACUCCAUGUUUUUGGAAGGUAUAUCAAUAUUGAUUUGCCGAAGCCUAUCUUAAGAUUUUCGAAUUUCCUGUCGAUGUUGGAUCUGCAAGGUUCAUGUAUCAAAAUGCUGCCCAAUGAAGUAUUUAGCUUGUUUAGUCUGCGGUAUUUGGGUCUUAGAGAUACCAAUCUCGAAAGCCUGCCUGAAGCAGUGGGGAAGUUAUGGAAGGAAGUCUUGGAUGCUGUGCAUUCUAAGCUGACGUGUUUGCCAAACAGUGUUGUAAAACUUAAAAAAUUGAGAUGCCUGCGUGCAUUUACUACCAGCAGAUCAAAAAUUGGAAGAAUACGUGGGGUCAAGGUGCCUAGUGGUAUACAUCACUUGGCAGGACUGCGGGCUCUUCAGUCCAUCGAAGCCAGUCCAGAGUUUCUGCGUGAAGUUGGAGCUCUGACAGAGCUAAGAACAUUCGGUGUCUGCAACGUGAGAAGCGAACACUCUUCUUACUUGGGCAAUGCUAUCACCAGAAUGAGCCAUCUUAUUCAUCUCGAUGUUGGGGCUGCAACUGAGGAUGAGGUGCUGCGGCUGGAAGGGCUAUAUUUACCUUCAACCCUUUCUCUGCUUGGUUUAACAGGGCAGCUAAACAAAACAUCGACGCCUCAACAUUUCUCUUCCUGGUCACUUCUUAAUAGCGUCACCCGGUUGUACCUGGCAUUCUCCAAUAUUGAUGAGGGAACCUUUUCAUGUCUGUGUGUGUUACGUGCUCUAAGCACCCUUGAGCUAGUGCAGGCUUUUGAAGGGAAGAGGUUGGAUUUUUAUGCAGCGUCAUUUCCAAAACUUCGGUUCUUACACAUAUGGGGUGCUGCACAACUCAACCAAGUGGGAAUAGAGGAGGGCGCAAUGCAAAACCUUGUCGAGCUAUGGUUCACAGAGUGUCCUGAGCUAAAGUUUCUUCCAGAUGGCAUCCAACACCUUGCAGCCCUUGAGAAAUUACUUCUGAAAGACACAUCAGAAGAGCUAGUAGAGAAACUCCGGCAAAAGAGAGAUUCAGAUGAAUGCAAUGAAGAUGUAAUGAAGAUUAGCCGCAUAAGGAAUGUUACAGUGGAAUUGAGCCAAAAAGGACUUUGGAAAAGGAUUAGGUGGUCAUCGCUAUUCACAAGAUCCUGGGCUGUAGCAUGUCAAGCACAUGCUGAUCACUUGGAUCAUAAUCUCAAUGAAAAUCUGGGCUAUUCCUUGGAUUGA
rnacentral:rRNA from 1 species